rnacentral:lncRNA from 1 species
UGUAUGAAAAACUUUUAUGGGUACACUUAAAAUCAUGUUAUAUUGUGUGCAUCUNGUUUCCUUAUUACCAUGUAUGAAUUACAAUAUUUUGUGGGAUGCUUAUCUACACUCUUUGACCAAGAGUGUGGGUAGGAGGGUAUUGAGAGUUCUCUCCCAUUAUUGGAAGAGAAAAGAGUGAGUUAUGAGUAUGAGAGGAGUGAAAGUGAUGUUGUUGUGAGAUGGGGUAUAUGGGGUUGAUGAAAGUAAUGAAGAAAGAAGAAGCUUGAUGUCAUUGGAGUAAGAAGAACAUGAAGGGGAAGGAGUGUUGGGAUGUUGCAGCGUGAAAGAAACAUGUUGAGAGUGAGAAAGAGAAUGGAGUUUUGUUUUGUAUUGAAAAAGAAGAAAAAAAAGGAUGGGAAUGCAUGGAAAGUGUGUAAGUGAGGAUAAAGCACACCGGAAAGCCUCGUGUUGAUGUGUGGGGGCAGUCAGCAGUCCCUGUAAGUUGCCGGGGCGUUACAAAUGGUAUCAGAGUCUAGCCUCUCCCAGUACGGUGUGGUUCGAGGACGAAUCGGAAGGAAGCUGGUGGGCAUGUGACACCCGGGCACU